AUCACUAGUCAUCUUCGGAUAACACGGGAACACUUCUAAAACUUUAUCAGGUCUAGUUCAACUCCUGCAUGAUCAGUGGUUCUCGUAACUUCAUAUUAUAACUACAGUCUCCCAUCUUCCGUCGAAACAGGUUUCUAAACAACUCCCAACGUACGUAGGAUACAUCACUUUCUGCAGAAAACACUUGAAGGUAGAAGAAUUUAAAUCUUGAAGUCACUCCAGAAGACAAUCCCAGUUUAUUGUCUAAAAGGCACGACAUGCUGGCCAAUAGAAUGAAGAAUCUACUAGCCUACUGCUUAGUGGUUAUAGCAGUGGGUAUAUUCAGUCUCCUAUUCAAGAUACCUCCGAAUAGUCGCCUCUUUUCUGCUGUUUCACCAAAAGUAAAACUGGAAAGGGAAUUUCAGUUACUUCCUCGCCAUUUCACUGUAUCUUUCGCGGUCUCCUCUCCUAAUUGCUGGCCCAUGUUCAACGUUGGAGUUCAGAGACUUUCAUCAGAAAGAGAAAUGCGAAGAAGGUAAGUAAAAAUCACCUCCACCUUUUGUUUUCCC